rnacentral:rRNA from 1 species
CUAGGCUAUCACUCCUACGGGAGGCAGCAGUGGGGAAUAUUGCACAAUGGGGGAAACCCUGAUGCAGCCAUGCCGCGUGUGUGAAGAAGGCCUUCGGGUUGUAAAGCACUUUCAGUAGGGAGGAAGGUAGUGUAGUUAACACCUGCAUUAUUUGACGUUACCUACAGAAGAAGCACCGGCUAACUCCGUGCCAGCAGCCGCGGUAAUACGGAGGGUGCGAGCGUUAAUCGGAAUUACUGGGCGUAAAGCGCAUGCAGGCGGCCUGUUAAGUCAGAUGUGAAAGCCCGGGGCUUAACCUCGGAAUUGCAUUUGAAACUGGCAGGCUAGAGUCUUGUAGAGGGGGUAGAAUUUCAGGUGUAGCGGUGAAAUGCGUAGAGAUCUGAAGGAAUACCAGUGGCGAAGGCGGCCCCCUGGACAAAGACUGACGCUCAGAUGCGAAAGCGUGGGGAGCAAACAGGAUUAGAUACCCUGGUAG